rnacentral:rRNA from 1 species
AUUGAACGCUGGCGGCAGGCCUAACUCAUGCAAGUCUAGCGAGCGGCGGACGGGUGAGUAAUGUAUGGGGACUGCCCGAUAGAGGGGGAUAUCUACUGGAAACGGUGGCUAAUACCGCAUACUAUCGGAUAACCCAUAUGGGAUUAGCUAGUAGGUGGGGUAAAGGCUCACCUAGGCGACGAUCUCUAGCUGGUCUGAUAGGACGAUCAGCCACACUGGGACAGAGACACGGCCCUGACUCCUACGGAGGCAGCAGUGGGAACUAUUGCACAAUGGGGGCAAGCCUGAUGUAGCCAUGCCGCGUGUAUGAAGAAGGCCUUAGGGUUGUAAAGUACUUUCAGCGGGGAGGCGUUACCCGCAGAAGAAGCACCGGCGAACUCCGUGCCAGCAGCCGCGGUAAUAC